rnacentral:rRNA from 1 species
UACGUAGGGGGCUAGCGUUGUCCGGAAUCAUUGGGCGUAAAGCGCGCGUAGGCGGCCCGGUAAGUCCGCUGUAAAAGUCCAGGGCUCAACCCUGGAAAGCCGGUGGAUACUGUCGGGCUCGAGUCCGGAAGAGGCGAGUGGAAUUCCUGGUGUAGCGGUGGAGUGCGCAGAUAUCAGGAGGAACACCAAUAGCGAAGGCAGCUCGCUGGGACGUCACUGACACUGAGGCGCGAAAGCGUGGGGAGCGAACAGG